UACGUAGGGCGCAAGCGUUGUCCGGAAUUAUUGGGCGUAAAGCGCGUGUAGGCGGCCAGAUAAGUCCGCUGUGAAAUCUCGAGGCUCAACUUCGAGCUGUCGGUGGAAACUGUCUGGCUAGAGUCCGGAAGAGGAGAAUGGAAUUCCUGGUGUAGCGGUGAAAUGCGCAGAUAUCAGGAAGAACACCCGUGGCGAAGGCGGCUUUCUGGAACGCAACUGACGCUGAGACGCGAAAGCGUGGGGAGCGAACAGG
rnacentral:rRNA from 1 species